ensembl:snRNA U6 U6 spliceosomal RNA
GUGCUUCUCACUUAGGCAGCAAAUACAUUAAAAUUGGAAUGAUACAGAGAAGAUUAGCAUGGCCCCUGCUUAAGGAUGACAGGCAAAUUUAUGUAGUGUUCCAUAUUUUU